rnacentral:rRNA from 1 species
UACAGAGGCCCCGAGCGUUAUCCGGAAUUAUUGGGUGUAAAGGGUGUGUAGGUGGCGUGAUUAGUCGUUUUUGAAAGCCCGGGGCUUAACCCCGGGACCGGGGACGAAACGGUCAUGCUUGAGUAAGGAAGAGGUAAGCGGAACUCAAUGUGUAGGGGUGAAAUCCGUUGAUAUAUUGGGGAACACCAAAAGCGAAGGCAGCUUACUGGUCCUUUACUGACACUGAAACACGAAAGCGUGGGUAGCGAAU